rnacentral:rRNA from 1 species
GAUGAACGCUGGCGGCGUGCCUAAUACAUGCAAGUCGAGCGAACAGACGAGGAGCUUGCUCCUCUGACGUUAGCGGCGGACGGGUGAGUAACACGUGGAUAACCUACCUAUAAGACUGGGAUAACUUCGGGAAACCGGAGCUAAUACCGGAUAAUAUAUUGAACCGCAUGGUUCAAUAGUGAAAGACGGUUUUGCUGUCACUUAUAGAUGGAUCCGCGCCGCAUUAGCUAGUUGGUAAGGUAACGGCUUACCAAGGCAACGAUGCGUAGCCGACCUGAGAGGGUGAUCGGCCACACUGGAACUGAGACACGGUCCAGACUCCUACGGGAGGCAGCAGUAGGGAAUCUUCCGCAAUGGGCGAAAGCCUGACGGAGCAACGCCGCGUGAGUGACGAAGGUCUUCGGAUCGUAAAACUCUGUUAUUAGGGAAGAACAAAUGUGUAAGUAACUAUGCACGUCUUGACGGUACCUAAUCAGAAAGCCACGGCUAACUACGU